rnacentral:sRNA from 1 species
AAUAUUUUGGAUAUUAACUAAAAAUGAUAAAAAUUAAAUUUGUAUGAUACUGAGUAUCAAGAAUAUUGAUUCUGCUGGAUACUGAAUCAAUGAUAUUGAAUCUGCAGGAUACAGAAUAUCAAAGAUACUGAAUAUCAGGAAUAUACUGAAUCUGUGCAAUACGGAACAUGAAGGAUAUUGAAUCUGUGGAAUCUGUGGAAUACGGAACAUUAAAGAUAUUGAAUUAUUGGAAUAUGGAACAUUAAGGAUAUUGAAUCUAUGGAAUCUGUGGAAUACGGAACAUCAAGGAUAUUGAAUCUAUGGAAUACGGAACAUCAAGGAUAUUUGAUCUGGAGGAUACUGAAUCAAGUUUUCAGGAUGACUCGCAGAUGGCGUCCUUUUAUAUAUGUAGGUCAUACUUAGAUGAGAGUACACUUGAACGUACUGAUACACGUAUCGUACCGUAGGGUCUAUCCUCUAAAACUGACACCACUUGAAGGACUCUUGCCGAUCACUCGUGACUGUUUAAGUUCAACUUAAAUCGAGAAAUUGACCACAGCUCGUAGUAUAGCAUUUUUCGAAAGCGAAAAUGUCUCUUAUUUUUAACACCUGUAUGUUGAUAGUAAAUGUUUCCUUAGGUACAUUAAUUAUAAGUAGGUCAAACCAUCUAUCUAUCUAUCUAUCUAUCUAUCUAUCUAUCUAUCUAUCUAUCUAUCUAUCUAUCUAUCCAUCCAUCUAUUUGGAAAAAUAAUGUGGAGUAUAGAUUUACAUGUAAUGAGCAAAAAUUGAAAUUAUUAAAUAAAACUAACAAGCAUUUUGUAAUUGAUACUUUUCAAGAGGGGAAUAAUUAUAAAUAAUAAAACCAAAAACAUCAAACUUCUACACCAGAUGUGCGUAAAUACUAUGCAUGACAAAUUCACUUGAUAAAAAAAAAUCGCACGCGUAUCAAAAAACUAGGUUAGUACUUCAGAAUCUCUUUGUGUUAAGCGUUUUUACAAAAUGUAGUUUUUUUAAAAGACUCUUGAAUUUGGAGAAAGAGUACUCACUUAAUUCAGGAAGUCAUUAGUAGAACUUUGAAAUGAGCGAACCAGCGAAAGCCUGAUGACGACGCGCUAUCUCAUAUACGCAAUCGUAAGGGAGGGAUUCUGAGAGGCUUUGAACCACGGGUAAUUAUAGUACGUAACUUGUUUUUAUGUAAAUAAAAAGUAAUUAUAC